GCGAAUGGCUCAUUAAAUCAGUUAUCGUUUAUUUGAUAGUACUUUACUACUUGGAUAACCGUGGUAAUUCUAGAGCUAAUACAUGCUGAAAACCCCAACUUCGGGAGGGGUGUAUUUAUUAGAUAAAAAACCAACGCCCUUCGGGGCUUCUUGGUGAUUCAUGAUAACUUUACGGAUCGCAUGGCCUUGCGCCGGCGACGGUUCAUUCAAAUUUCUGCCCUAUCAACUUUCGAUGGUAAGGUAUUGGCUUACCAUGGUUUCAACGGGUAACGGGGAAUUAGGGUUCGAUUCCGGAGAGGGAGCCUGAGAAACGGCUACCACAUCCAAGGAAGGCAGCAGGCGCGCAAAUUACCCAAUCCCGAUACGGGGAGGUAGUGACAAUAAAUACUGAUACAGGGCUCUUUUGGGUCUUGUAAUUGGAAUGAGUACAAUUUAAACCUCUUAACGAGGAACAAUUGGAGGGCAAGUCUGGUGCCAGCAGCCGCGGUAAUUCCAGCUCCAAUAGCGUAUAUUAAAGUUGUUGCAGUUAAAAAGCUCGUAGUUGAACCUUGGGUCUGGCUGGCAGGUCCGCCUCACCGCGUGUACUUGUCCGGCCGGGCCUUCCUUCUGGAGAACCUCAUGCCCUUUACUGGGCGUGUUGGGGACCAGGACUUUUACUUUGAAAAAAUUAGAGUGUUCAAAGCAGGCCUUUGCUCGAAUACGUUAGCAUGGAAUAAUAGAAUAGGACGUGCGGUCCUAUUUUGUUGGUUUCUAGGACCGCCGUAAUGAUUAAUAGGGACAGUCGGGGGCAUCAGUAUUCAAUUGUCAGAGGUGAAAUUCUUGGAUUUAUUGAAGACUAACUACUGCGAAAGCAUUUGCCAAGGAUGUUUUCAUUAAUCAGUGAACGAAAGUUAGGGGAUCGAAGACGAUCAGAUACCGUCGUAGUCUUAACCGUAAACUAUGCCGACUAGGGAUCGGGCGAUGUUCUUUUUCUGACUCGCUC
rnacentral:rRNA from 1 species